rnacentral:lncRNA from 1 species
GCUCUGGCCUACACCACAGCCACUACAACGCGGGAUCUGAGCUACAUCUGUGACCUAUGCGGCAGCUCAUGGCAAUGCUGGAUCCUUAACUCACUGAGUGAGGCCAGGGAUUGAACCCACAUCCUCAUGGAUACUAGCUGGUUCUUAACCCGCUGAGCCACCACGGGAACUCCCUGGCCUUGCUUCUAGACAUAGAAAAUUUUAUUUUAGGUUUAUAGCAAAACUGAAUGGAAAGCACAGAGUUCCCAUAUACCUCCUGCCAUCCACUUUCUCCAACACACAGCCUCCCCCACCAACAACCUCUCUUCAUCAGAAUGGGACAUCUGUCGGAUCAAUGAACCUACUCUGACACACCACUGUUGCCCACUCCACAGUUGACAUUAGGGUUCAUUCUUGGUGUUGGGGACUCUGUGGGUUGUCUAAUGAUGUGUGACCCACCAUGACAGUCUCACACAGGGCAGCCUCCCUGCCCUCAAAGUCCUCUGUGCUCUACACAGUCAGCCCGCCCUCCCUGCUAAUUCCUGGAAACCACGGAUCUUUUCCCUGUCUCUGCAGGCUUACCUUUUUUAGAAUGUCAUGUACUUGGAAUCCUACAGUAUGUAGCCUUUUCUGAUUGACUUCUUUCACUUGGUAACGUUCAUUGAAGUUUCCUCCUUAUCUUUGCAUGGCUUAAUAGAGCUCAUGUCUUUUUAGUGCUAAUAUUCCUUUGUCUGGAUGUACCUUGGUGUAUGUGCUCAUCCAUCUCCUGAAAGACAUUUUGGUUGCUUCCAACAUUUGGGAAAUAUAAGUAAAGCUGUUAUAAAAUCUAUCUGCUGGUUUGUGUGGUGACAUAUGAUUUCAACAGAUUUGAGUAAACAUCAGAGUGUGACUGCUGGAUCAUAUUGUAGGAGUAUGUUUAGGUAUGUACUUCAAAAAUUACAUUAUUAGUAUAUAAACACAUUGUCCUCUAGACACACAGCUAAUAUUUAUUGAGCACAUACCACAUGCCAGAGGGUGAUUCUAUGAAUUAUUAUUAUUAUUAUUGCUUUUUAGGGCCGUACUGGUGUGGUUCUAAAAAAAAUGUAAAAGAAAAAGAAAAAAAAAAAAAAAGGGAGUUCCCGUCGUGGUGCAGUGGUUAACGAAUCUGACUAGGAACCAUGAGGUUGCGGGUUCGCUCCCUGCCCUUGCUCAGUGGGUUAACGAUCCGGCGUUGCCGUGAGCUGUGGUGUAGGUUGCAGACGUGGCUCGGAUCCUGCGUUGCUGUGGCUCUGGCAUAGGGCGGUGGCUACAGCUCCGAUUGGACCCCUAGCCUGGGAACCUCCAUAUGCCGCGGGGAGCGGCCCAAAGAAAUAGCAAAAAGACAAAAAAAAAAAAAAUGUUAAAGAGGGAGAUGGAGUACAAAUGACUAGAUAUAAUUUUUUUAAGCACAAGUUUUCAGUUCACCCAUGAUCUUAAUGAAUUUGACUAUACAUUUGAAUUUGACUAUAUAUUUUAUUUAUUUUUUUAGGGCUGCACCUGCAGCAUACAGAAGUUCCCAGGCAAGGGAUCUAAUUGGAACUGUAGCUGCUGGCCUACACCACAGCCACAGCAAUACCAGAUCCAAGCUGUGCCUGGGACCUACACCACAGUUCACAGCAAUGCCUGAUCCUUAACCCACUGAGCAAGGCCAGGAAUUGAACCUGCAUCCUCAUGGAUACUACUCAAUUUAUUUCUGCUGAGCCAUGAUGAGAACUCCCACUGAAAUUUAUUUUAAAAAAAAUGUUGGUUUGAGAACCAAAGAACAAUGUGAAGAUAAUGUUUGUUAUAGAAUUAUUACUGAAAAUAAUUUUGCCCUGUACAGGUGGGGAGUGUUAUAAAAUGACCCACUUUAGGCAUCAAAUAUUCUCGAUGUUCUUGUUCCCAGAGGAAUUUUAUGCCAUGAGUUUCCUGUGUAUCUUUCCGACCUUGCUUUAUACUGGUACAUACAAAUACACAUAUUGAUAAAACAUAGAUCACAUUAUUUUGUUGUUUGUUGGCCAUACCCAAGGCAUACGGACUUUCCGGGGCUAGGGAUUAAACCUAAGCCACAGCAGUGACAGUACUGGAUCCUUAACUUGCCAAGCCACCAGGGAACUCCUAUGUAGUGUUAUUUUGGACACAUACAAAGAUUUAAAGAUAUGGGAAUAUUAUCACCUUUUAUACUUUGUUCAAUGACUGUUUCUCACUCUGCAGGAUGUGUUUAAGGUCUUGCCAUGUGAAUUCUUUUUUCUAGACUAGUUCUUUCUUUUAAAUUGCUGUAUCCAUUAAAGAGACAGCAUUUUACUCCUGCACUUUCCCCCUGACAUUUACUUAGGCUGUUUCCAGGUUUUUGUUUGUUUUUACUAUUAUAAACAAUCUACCUUGGCCUGGAGUUUCUUAGGAGGUGACAAGGUCAGGGGCAGGCAGAGUUUUCAGUGAAAGGAUCCCAUCAGGCGCCCUCCUGAAGGCUGUCCCAGCCUGUGGUUUCUGACGGUCAAGUCUAUUUUCACUCUUGCCCUUUGCCCAACUGCCCAGGCCCAGGCAAGGCCCAGGAUGCCUUUCUCAUCUCAGGUGGCACCUCCUGCAUGGAUCCCGUGACCCCCUGGCUGUCACAAACCUGUACCAGAAACCUCGUGAUCUGGGCUAUUUAGGCAACCUCCUCUGCUCCAACAUGCAUAUCUGUGCGCGCGCACCCACGCACACCCCUCCCACACACACACCCCCACACCCCUGUCUCUUAGUGCCAAAAAGAGGUUUCCCGCCCGGAUCGUGUUACUCUGCUCUGUGUUCCCAACCUGGCAGCUGGGACUGGGGAUCCCAAGGGCUGUUCUCACUGCCUGUCUACACCCAUAUAUAUUUUUUCUCUUCCCCUAAACAUUCCCCUGGCCCUCACCUAUGCCUGCAAGGGACACCAAGCCCAGCUGCCUCCUCUUUUCCUUUUAUGUAUGUAUCUGCUUCCUCAAUUAGUUUGUGACAUCCUUGAGGGUAGGGACAGAGCCUUGCUCGCUAGGUCCUAGAACAUGGCACAAAGUAGGUGCUGGGUCAUCGGAGAAUUAACAACUGAGAAAUAAUUAUAGGAGCUCUGUGUUGGGUCCUUCCUCUGGGGGGCACCAUUCUUCAUGUGCAUUAUCUCCUUCAAUCCUCACCUGGCCACAGGAUUAGGAGCUGUUAUUAUUCCUGUGAAGUAGCAAUUAUCCUUAUCUUAUGGUUGGGGAAACUAAGGCUCAGAGAGCUUAAGCAUAUUGCCCAGGCUUUGAACUGGGGUGUCUGCCUGACCUUUGCUGAUGAUACCCUCUAGACUCUGCCAUCUGACUAGGUCAAGUUUGGAAGUUCAGAGUGAGACAGGCACGAUCUUCACCCUCAGUUCCUUAGCCAUAUGAGAAAGUCUUGGACCACCAGCAUCUCCUCUCAGGACACUGUGAACAUCUCUUAUCUGAUGUCUUGCUCACUCUGCACUCCCCUCCAGCCAGCCUGAUCAUCCUGAGACACAAAUUAGAAUAUAUUUCCCUUCUUCCUCUUGCUCAGACCCUUUCCUUGCUU